UAUGCUUGAGUUUUGUGCGGUCAUCUGACGAGAACGGUUUCUUUCAGAUGAUGUAAGGUUUUCAUUGAUCAAUUAAAGGAGUCGCUUGAAACGGCCGUAAUAAA